rnacentral:rRNA from 1 species
AUUGAACGCUGGCGGCAGGCCUAACACAUGCAAGUCGAACGGUAACAGGAAGCAGCUUGCUGCUUCGCUGACGAGUGGCGGACGGGUGAGUAAUGUCUGGGAAGCUGCCUGAUGGAGGGGGAUAACUACUGGAAACGGUAGCUAAUACCGCAUAAUGUCGCAAGACCAAAGAGGGGGACCUUCGGGCCUCUUGCCAUCGGAUGUGCCCAGAUGGGAUCAGCUUGUUGGUGGGGUAACGGCUCACCAAGGCGACGAUCCCUAGCUGGUCUGAGAGGAUGACCAGCCACACUGGAACUGAGACACGGUCCAGACUCCUACGGGAGGCAGCAGUGGGGAAUAUUGCACAAUGGGCGCAAGCCUGAUGCAGCCAUGCCGCGUGUAUGAAGAAGGCCUUCGGGUUGUAAAGUACCUUCAGCGGGGAGGAAGGGAGUAAAGUUAAUACCUUUGCUCAUUGACGUUACCCGCAGAAGAAGCACCGGCUAACUCCGUG